rnacentral:rRNA from 1 species
CGCCGCACGAUGUCGACUUGGAGGUUGUGCCCUUGAGGCGUGGCUUCCGGAGCUAACGCGUUAAGUCGACCGCCUGGGGAGUACGGCCGCAAGGUUAAAACUCAAAUGAAUUGACGGGGGCCCGCACAAGCGGUGGAGCAUGUGGUUUAAUUCGAUGCAACGCGAAGAACCUUACCUGGUCUUGACAUCCACGGAAGUUUUCAGAGAUGAGAAUGUGCCUUCGGGAACCGUGAGACAGGUGCUGCAUGGCUGUCGUCAGCUCGUGUUGUGAAAUGUUGGGUUAAGUCCCGCAACGAGCGCAACCCUUAUCCUUUGUUGCCAGCGGUCCGGCCGGGAACUCAAAGGAGACUGCCAGUGAUAAACUGGAGGAAGGUGGGGAUGACGUCAAGUCAUCAUGGCCCUUACGACCAGGGCUACACACGUGCUACAAUGGCGCAUACAAAGAGAAGCGACCUCGCGAGAGCAAGCGGACCUCAUAAAGUGCGUCGUAGUCCGGAUUGGAGUCUGCAACUCGACUCCAUGAAGUCGGAAUCGCUAGUAAUCGUGGAUCAGAAUGCCACGGUGAAUACGUUCCCGGGCCUUGUACACACCGCCCGUCACACCAUGGGAGUGGGUUGCAAAAGAAGUAGGUAGCUUAACCUUCGGGAGGGCGCUUACCACUUUGUGAUUCAUGACUGGGGUGAAGUCGUACAAGGGUUACCCC